ensembl:lncRNA
AACUCAUCCAAAAUGAGUCUUCAGGUUUGCCACUGUGGCUGGUCCAAAACGACAAGUUACCAGGGCCUCAGAGUUCACCAGGGAAAGAUGGGAUGUACACCAAAGGGAAUGAGGAUCCCUGAACAUGAACAAUUCAGUUACCUUCCUACAGUGACUAUCCUGAGUCCUCAGAUCAAAUUAACAGACCCAUUUAUGGAUAUUUUCAAGAAUUCUGUGAAGUCUGAUUCAAACUCAAGCUACUACAGCUGGCCCAGAAUCACAGUUGAUCAGGACCUCGGAGAUCUCCAGGGAGGGAUGAGAUCUACACAAAAUCAACUGGAAGAGAACAAAGUUCAACUCUGGAGAAAUCAUCAAGAAGAAUCUCAUCAAAAGUGCAGCAGACCAACUUUCAGUCCUUCAGUCAAGGAGGAGCAGAAUAUGUUUCUGCCAUCAAGCUUCAUCCCCCAAAUCGAUUCUCCAGCCAGACAAGCCUCUGCAGUAGAGAUAAUUAAAUCAUUGGUUGAAACUCAGCAACAGUCUGUGCCAACAGGUUCAAACAUGGGCGAAGAUCAGGGGCUUGAUUUAGGCUCUGGUGCACAGUCUGUGUUCAUGUCUGUGUCACAGACCUUCAGCAACCACAGUGAUCACACAGACAACACAACCACAAAGAUGGAGACAGACACAUCAUUCUUUGAGACUCCUCAGCGCUCUCAUCAAAGCACCGUGAGCUCAGACAAAGCCCGUCGAGCUCUGGACUUCUCUACUGGUGGACAGCAGGUGGUACAACUCUUGGAGCUUCCUGGGAAAGCAGCCCAGCAUGCAGCAAUCUGCCCCGA